AUGAGGCCUGUUAAGCGUGUUGCUUUUGAAGGCACUGUAACAGGAAGGCGUUUCUAUGGCUGCCCGGUCUAGGCAAAUGGUGUGAAUUGUGGUGUUGUAGAGUGGGUUAAUGGGCCUUGGCCUACUGUUCUUCAGAGAUGUUUGAGCAGGCUGUGGGAAAUGUUCCAUGAGCAGAACUAUGGAAGGGUACUUGACAAGGAGAAGUUUGAGAAUGAGUUGGCCAAGCUGAAGACUGAAAAUGACAAGCUUUGCAUUGAGUACACCAAGCUUGUUGAUGAUGUAUCCAAGAUGUUUGAUUGGCAGGAUGGUAGGGUGGAUAAGAAACAAGUGGAGGAGGAAGAACUUGAGAAGAAGAAGGAGCUAGAGGAGAAAGCUAUGUUGGAGGUGCAGAUGGAAAAGCUCAAACUUGCAAAAGAGCAGAGGUGCAUUUUGCAGAGCCAAGCUGAUAUCAUCAAGAACACCAGGAAGGCUAUGAAGGAUGUUCAAGUUGACAGAGAUUUUCUUAAGAAGGAGAAGGACAAGCUUGAGCUUGUUGUUGCUGAGCUGCUGAAAGAUGGCUAUGGCAGCAAGGAGAAGUUAGAGCAAAUCAACGCCAUCCUUGAAUCUUGA
rnacentral:rRNA from 1 species